rnacentral:rRNA from 1 species
UACGGAGGGUGCAAGCGUUAUCCGGAUUUACUGGGCUUAAAGGGAGCGCAGGCGGAUUGGUAAGUCAGUGGUGAAAUACCCGUGCUUAACAUGGGAACUGCCAUUGAUACUAUCAGUCUUGAAUGUUGUUGAGGUUUGCGGAAUGGGUCAUGUAGCGGUGAAAUGCAUAGAUAUGACCCGGAACACCUAUUGCGAAGGCAGCAGGCUAAACAAAUAUUGACGCUGAGGCUCGAAAGCGUGGGGAUCAAACAGG